rnacentral:lncRNA from 1 species
GGCAGAUGCCUAGCUUGCAAUAGCUUUCUUUACCUAACCCACUGUAUGCUUUUUGGCUAGCAAUAAAUUCCGUGCUGCCCUGGCUGAGCCACUACCUACACGGGAUCUUAUCCAGAUCCUUACAAAGAAGCUGAAGCAGCACUUCUAACCAGUUUCUGUGCUCAAAAACUUCAUCAGUGAUAUCAGUGGAGCCCAAGGACAGGCUCAAAGCAACACAAUUACAGCAAGACUGCUAUUGUACCACGGACAGAAGAUAAAUGAAGUAUUGAUUUCAGAACCAGCAGAAUGCCACAAAAGGCAAUCCUUCAGUUAUUGUUAUUUACAGAGGAACUGGAAUUACACUUGCUUGCAAACAGAUGAGAAGACAGGUCACCUUCCUGAAGGUGCAGCCUGGAUAGAGCACAUACAGAGGAGAGAGAUGUCUGGAGUGAGUUUACAAAAAAGACUUUCUGCAUUUCCUGCUGCUCUGCCUAGGAGGUGAAGAGGAAUAAUCUUCUUGGAAACCACAGGAAGCAAGUGAUAGUCUUUUACUACCAGAAAGAUCUGAAAACUUUGUGAAAAUGGUACUGUUUAAUACUUUUCCAUGACAAAGGUUAGCUCCUACAUGUGUGUGUUGGUUGAAUAAAACAUUUUCCUAUUACA